AGGCGCAUAGUGGUUCCCCCUCAGGAAGACCACCACGCGGAGGACCCGAGUAGAAAUGUGGCUCCGCCGUCACGCGGCGCUGCUCUCCGGUCAGUUCGCCGGCUGCUCUCCGCUUCUUCUUCGUGUCGCCUGCUGGUCUCAGAUCGGUGCUGCUGCUGCUCCGCCCCGGACGCAGGGUUUCGCGGUAAAAUCAAGUGCGGACACACAGACAAACAGCAGCAGAGACCCCGAGAACAACAGUAGAGUCAUGCCGUCCAACGUGGAGAUCAAAGCCAGAGUGAGCGACCCAAAGAAGUUUGGAGAGAAGGCUGCCGAGCUCAGCCAAUCAGAGGGCACCAUCAUCAGACAGCAUGACACCUUCUUCAACUGCAGCCAAGGACGACUGAAGCUACGAGACUUCAUGAAUGAGUCCGGUCAGCUGAUCUUCUACGAGCGUCCCGACACCGAUGGACCCAAACUGUCCCGUUACUCCAUCAGUCCGACCAGCGACCCGUCCAGCCUGCGGACCGUGCUGUCGGACGCCCUCGGGGUUAAAGGGGAGGUGCGGAAAGAGCGUCUGCUGUUUCUGAUUGGUCAGACCAGAGUCCACAUGGACACGGUGGAGGGACUGGGACAUUACAUGGAGUUGGAGGAGGGACGCCGUCAGCAGAAGUCCUGCUGAACUAAAAACAGGAGCAGCAUCUUAACAAUCAGCCUGAACUAACGUCCACAUGGUGAUUUGUUGGAGGUGUUGCUGUGUAAACACGUCACCUCCACGGCGCCGUGCAUCCUCCGCUGUGUCGUCACAGCGUCGCGACGGUCGCCGACUCUGAUUUGAUUAAAGCCACGACAGAUUUUGAAAGUGUGAGAUUUCCCAGAGGAAUCAGAGACAAACAGGUGGUGAUGCGUCCAGAGCAGACUGUUGAGGAGGGACAGCAGGUGGCCGAGGACCUGAUGGAGAAGCUGGGUGUGUCAAAGGAGAGUCUGGUAACUGGAGCGUACAUGGACCUGAUCCUGAAGGGACACAAAGAGACAUAAAA